rnacentral:rRNA from 1 species
UACAGAGGGGGCAAGCGUUGUUCGGAAUUACUGGGCGUAAAGGGCGCGUAGGCGGCCUGUUAAGUCGAACGUGAAAUCCCUGGGCUCAACCCAGGAACUGCGUCCGAUACUGGUUGGCUUGAAUCCGGGAGAGGGACGUGGAAUUCCCGGUGUAGUGGUGAAAUGCGUAGAUAUCGGGAGGAACACCAGUGGCGAAGGCGGCUUCCUGGCCUGUUCUUGACGCUGAGGCGCGAAAGCUAGGGGAGCAAACGGG